rnacentral:rRNA from 1 species
GAAUUUUGGACAAUGGGCGCAAGCCUGAUCCAGCAAUGCCGCGUGAGUGAAGAAGGCCUUCGGGUUGUAAAGCUCUUUUGUCAGGGAAGAAACGGCUGAGGNUAAUAUCUUCGGCUAAUGACGGUACCUGAAGAAUAAGCACCGGCUAACUACGUGCCAGCAGCCGCGGUAAUACGUAGGGUGCAAGCGUUAAUCGGAAUUACUGGGCGUAAAGCGUGCGCAGGCGGUUUUGUAAGUCUGACGUGAAAUCCCCGGGCUCAACCUGGGAAUUGCGUUGGAGACUGCAAGGCUUGANUCUGGCAGAGGGGGGUAGAAUUCCACGUGUAGCAGUGAAAUGCGUAGAGAUGUGGAGGAACACCGAUGGCGAAGGCAGCCCCCUGGGUCAAGAUUGACGCUCAUGCACGAAAGCGUGGGGAGCAAACAGGAUUAGAUACCCUGGUAGUCCACGCCCUAAACGAUGUCUACUAGUUGUCGGGUUUUAAUUAACUUGGUAACGCAGCUAACGCGUGAAGUAGACCGC